UACGAAAGGGGCUAGCGUUGUUCGGAAUUACUGGGCGUAAAGCGCGCGCAGGCGGUUCUUCAAGUCAGAGGUGAAAGCCCAGAGCUCAACUCUGGAAUGGCCUUUGAGACUAGAGAACUUGGGUACGGGAGAGGUGAGUGGAAUUCCGAGUGUAGAGGUGAAAUUCGUAGAUAUUCGGAAGAACACCAGUGGCGAAGGCGGCUCACUGGCCCGUUACCGACGCUCAGGCGCGACAGCGUGGGGAGGCAAACAGG
rnacentral:rRNA from 1 species